AGGACGAACGCUGGCGGCGUGCUUAACACAUGCAAGUCGAGCGGUAAGGCCUUUCGGGGUACACGAGCGGCGAACGGGUGAGUAACACGUGGGUGAUCUGCCCUGCACUUCGGGAUAAGCCUGGGAAACUGGGUCUAAUACCGGAUAUGACCUCCUAUCGCAUGGUGGGUGGUGGAAAGAUUUAUCGGUGCAGGAUGGGCCCGCGGCCUAUCAGCUUGUUGGUGGGGUAAUGGCCUACCAAGGCGACGACGGGUAGCCGACCUGAGAGGGUGACCGGCCACGACUGGGACUGAGACACGGCCCAGACUCCUACGGGAGGCAGCAGUGGGGAAUAUUGCACAAUGGGCGAAAGCCUGAUGCAGCGACGCCGCGUGAGGAUGGACGGCCUCGGGUUAGUAACCUCUUUCAGCAGGACGAAGCGACAAGUGACGGUACCUGCAGAAGAAGCAACCGGCUAACACGUGCCAGCAGCCGC
rnacentral:rRNA from 1 species